rnacentral:rRNA from 1 species
UGGGGAAUAUUGGACAAUGGGGGAAACCCUGAUCCAGCAAUGCCGCGUGCGUGAAGAAGGCCUUAGGGUUGUAAAGCGCUUUCACCUGCGAGGAUGAUGACAGUAGCAGGAGAAGAAGCCCCGGCUAACUCCGUGCCAGCAGCCGCGGUAAUACGGAGGGGGCUAGCGUUGUUCGGAAUCACUGGGCGUAAAGGGCGUGUAGGCGGCGGAUCAAGUUAGGCGUGAAAGCCCCGGGCUCAACCUGGGAUGUGCGCUUGAUACUGAUUGGCUAGAGUCCGGGAGAGGCGAGUGGAAUAUCCAGUGUAGAGGUGAAAUUCGUAGAUAUUGGAUGGAACACCUGUGGCGAAGGCGGCUCGCUGGACCGGUACUGACGCUGAGGCGCGAAAGCGUGGGGAGCAAACAGGAUUAGAUACCCCUGUAGUCC